ACAAACAUGCACAAAUGGCAGAAGCUUCAUCUGAUUCGAAUCGUUCCGGACUUGCGUUCAUGUUUAAACGUGAAGUAGAACAAGAAAAACAAAUUUCAUUUCUUCUGGAUUCAGGAGCAUCUGACCACUUAAUUAAUGACGAGGGCUUAUAUAAGAGUUAUACGAUUUUGGAAACACCUAUAAAAAUUGCAGUGGCGAAGUGUGGCCAAUUUAUAAAUGCAACAAAAAUUGGCACAGUGGAAUUGUUCACUAAUUCUGAAGCGAGAGUUAUUUUGAAAAAUGUUUUGUUUUGUUCAGAUGUUCCACACAAUCUCUUGUCAGUAAAGAAAAUGCAGGAUGCUGGAUUAACAAUCUUGUUUCAUCCAGGAGGUGUCUCUAUUAGUAAAGCUGAUGAAAUUUUAAUAAAUGAUAAACAACUAGCGGAUAUGCUAACAAAACCGAUACCAGCGCCACGGUUUUGUGAAUUGCGAAACCAAAUGAGUUUGAUGGAUUAAUCAAAUGAAGGAGAAAAGGAUCUCAUGGAUAUGGACUGAACCAAAAUAAUUU